rnacentral:rRNA from 1 species
UAGGGAAUCUUCGGCAAUGGGGGCAACCCUGACCGAGCAACGCCGCGUGAGUGAAGAAGGUUUUCGGAUCGUAAAGCUCUGUUGUAAGAGAAGAACGUGUGUGAGAGUGGAAAGUUCACACAGUGACGGUAACUUACCAGAAAGGGACGGCUAACUACGUGCCAGCAGCCGCGGUAAUACGUAGGUCCCGAGCGUUGUCCGGAUUUAUUGGGCGUAAAGCGAGCGCAGGCGGUUUAAUAAGUCUGAAGUUAAAGGCAGUGGCUUAACCUUUGUUCGCUUUGGACACUGGUAAACUUGAGUGCAGAAGGGGAGAGUGGAAUUCCAUGUGUAGCGGUGAAAUGCGUAGAUAUAUGGAGGAACACCGGUGGCGAAAGCUGCUCUCUAGUCUGUAACUGACGCUGAGGCUCGAAAGCGUGGGGAUCAAACAGG